CUGAGACAGGCCAGGUGAGAAACCCUCCCCAUCAAGUCAGCCUAUGGGAUGGGUCAAGUGUGGCUGCUCAGAGCCUAACUAUGUCCUUCAACUACAGCAGAGAGAAGGACCUGGGAAGCCCAGGUCACUAGCCAAUCCAAAGAGGGGUGGGGCUGAAGGUUGGGACAAGGGCAUUAUGACAAGAGCAAGUUGAAAAGGAGAAGCCAGCAGAAAGAGAGACUCGAGUGGGGAGUGCGAUUCCCCUGGAGAGAGGAAACCUCCCCUCCAGCUUUGGGUGUGUGGUGUCAAUGAACUCUGGCACUUGGCUUCCAGGGUCAGAACGAGGAAGUGCCUUAAAGGUGGUGCGUGCACUCCACCAUCAGUACCUCUGACAUCAGCACCCCUGACAUCACACUCACCUGGCGUAGAGGAUGCCCAGAGACAAGGAUGCAUCUCAUCUAGUGUGUGCUCCAUCCUUCCCAGGUACAACCACGGAAAGCCAUGGCUCGCUGGGUGCAAGAGAAAAAACCUUUUUACCUUGUUUAGAUCAGUGUCUUCAGAGAGGCUUUCCAUACUCACGUAAUCAAAUAUCCUCGAUGCUAGAACAGCAGAUGGCAACAGUGACAAAUGGUGUCUUGCGUAUCUGCGAGUAUGUCUUCGUGAAUGUGAGGCCAAAUCAGCAUGAGGUUAUUUGUGAGUGCAAGUUCAUAUGAUCAUAUUUACUCAGCCAUAAAGAAGAAUGAAAUUAUGGCACUUGCCGGUAAAUGGAUGGAACUGGAAACUGUCAUGCUAAGGAAACUACUAGAGAAUUUUCUCCACAAAAGGAAAAAGUAAACCACAAAAAAUAAAGAUGUCGUCUGCAGAAAAUAGGAGACACGAUACAGGAGAGAGAUAAAUGAAAUCCUUACAAGGCUGAUGGAGAUUCUAGGAUGACAAAUUUGAACCAGCCAUAGAAGACAACUGGUUGGUUAAGAUUGUUGUAGGUGUGGUGACUGUGCACGCCUGUAAUCCCAGCAUGAGGCAGGAAUAUCACAAGUUCGAGGCCAGCCUCAUCAACUUGGUAAGGCCCUAAGCA